AACGCACCUUGCGCCCUUUGGCCAUUCCGAAGGGCAUGCCUGUUUGAGUAUCAUGAACACCUCAACUCUUCAUGGUUUUCUGUGAUGAGUUUGGACUUUGGGGGUUUUGCUGGCCUAUGGUCAGCUCCUCUAAAAUAAAUCAGCUUGCCAGUGUUUGGUGGGUAUCAUAGGUGUGAUAACUAUCUACGCUUGUGGUUCUUCCACCAGGUAACCUUCAGCAGUGGAGGUUCACUGGAGCUCACAGAUGUCUCUCCUCAGUGAGGACAGCCCUUUGAAUGUUUGAUCUCAAAUCAGGUAGGACUACCCGCUGAACUUAA
rnacentral:misc_RNA from 1 species